rnacentral:rRNA from 1 species
UACAGAGACUGCAAGCGUUAUUCGGAUUCACUGGGCGUAAAGGGUGCGCAGGCGGCCAAGUGUGUCAGGUGUGAAAUCCCGAGGCUUAACCUCGGAACUGCGCCUGAAACUACUUGGCUAGAGUACUGGAGAGGGUAACGGAAUUCACGGUGCAGCAGUGAAAUGCGUAGAUAUCGUGAGGAACACCAGAGGCGAAGGCGGUUACCUGGACAGUUACUGACGCUCAGGCACGAAAGCGUGGGGAGCAAAAGGG